rnacentral:rRNA from 1 species
ACUGGGGCGGUCUCCUCCUAAAGAGUAACGGAGGAGCACGAAGGUUGGCUAAUCCUGGUCGGACAUCAGGAGGUUAGUGCAAUGGCAUAAGCCAGCUUGACUGCGAGCGUGACGGCGCGAGCAGGUGCGAAAGCAGGUCAUAGUGAUCCGGUGGUUCUGAAUGGAAGGGCCAUCGCUCAACGGAUAAAAGGUACUCCGGGGAUAACAGGCUGAUACCGCCCAAGAGUUCAUAUCGACGGCGGUGUUUGGCACCUCGAUGUCGGCUCAUCACAUCCUGGGGCUGAAGUAGGUCCCAAGGGUAUGGCUGUUCGCCAUUUAAAGUGGUACGCGAGCUGGGUUUAGAACGUCGUGAGACAGUUCGGUCCCUAUCUGCCGUGGGCGCUGGAGAACUGAGGGGGGCUGCUCCUAGUACGAGAGGACCGGAGUGGACGCAUCACUGGUGUUCGGGUUGUCAUGCCAAUGGCACUGCCCGGUAGCUAAAUGCGGAAGAGAUAAGUGCUGAAAGCAUCUAAGCACGAAACUUGCCCCGAGAUGAGUUCUCCCUGACUCCUUGAGAGUCCUGAAGGAACGUUGAAGACGACGACGUUGAUAGGCCGGGUGUGUAAGCGCAGCGAUGCGUUGAGCUAACCGGUACUAAUGAACCGUGAGGCUUAACCUUACAACGCCGAAGCUGUU